rnacentral:rRNA from 1 species
GAGUUUGAUCCUGGCUCAGGAUGAACGCUGGCGGUGUGCUUAACACAUGCAAGUCGUACGCACUGGCCCAACUGAUUGAUGGUGCUUGCACCUGAUUGACGAUGGAUCACCAGUGAGUGGCGGACGGGUGAGUAACACGUAGGUAACCUGCCCCGGAGCGGGGGAUAACAUUUGGAAACAGAUGCUAAUACCGCAUAACAACAAAAGCCACAUGGCUUUUGUUUGAAAGAUGGCUUUGGCUAUCACUCUGGGAUGGACCUGCGGUGCAUUAGCUAGUUGGUAAGGUAACGGCUUACCAAGGCGAUGAUGCAUAGCCGAGUUGAGAGACUGAUCGGCCACAAUGGAACUGAGACACGGUCCAUACUCCUACGGGAGGCAGCAGUAGGGAAUCUUCCACAAUGGGCGCAAGCCUGAUGGAGCAACACCGCGUGAGUGAAGAAGGGUUUCGGCUCGUAAAGCUCUGUUGUUGGAGAAGAACGUGCGUGAGAGUAACUGUUCACGCAGUGACGGUAUCCAACCAGAAAGUCACGGCUAACUACGUGCCAGCAGCCGCGGUAAUACGUAGGUGGCAAGCGUUAUCCGGAUUUAUUGGGCGUAAAGCGAGCGCAGGCGGUUGCUUAGGUCUGAUGUGAAAGCCUUCGGCUUAACCGAAGAAGUGCAUCGGAAACCGGGCGACUUGAGUGCAGAAGAGGACAGUGGAACUCCAUGUGUAGCGGUGAAAUGCGUAGA